CGUGCCUAAUACAUGCAAGUCGAGCGCGGGAAGCCGGCGGACUCCUUCGGGAGGAAACCGGUGGAACGAGCGGCGGACGGGUGAGUAACACGUGGGCAACCUGCCGGACUGAUGGGAAUAACCCCGGGAAACCGGGGCUAAUGCCCAAUACGCCCUGACCUCGCCUGAGGUCAGCGGUAAAGCAGGGAUCUUCGGAUCCUUGCACAGUCCGAUGGGCCCGCGGCGCAUUAGCUAGUUGGAGAGGUAAGGGCUCCCCAAGGCGACGAUGCGUAGCCGACCUGAGAGGGUGAUCGGCCACACUGGGACUGAGACACGGCCCAGACUCCUACGGGAGGCAGCAGUAGGGAAUCAUCCGCAAUGGGCGAAAGCCUGACGGUGCAACGCCGCGUGAGUGAUGAAGGUUUUCGGAUCGUAAAGCUCUGUUGACAGGGAAGAACCCACGCCAGUCGAACAGGCUGGCGUGCUGACGGUACCUGUCCAGAAAGCCCCGGCUAACUACGUGCCAGCAGCCGCGGUAAUACGUAGGGGGCAAGCGUUGUCCGGAAUUAUUGGGCGUAAAGGGCACGCAGGCGGUUUCGUCAGUCCGAUGUGACAGGCCACGGCUCAACCGUGGAAGGCCAUUGGAAACUGCGAAACUUGAGGACAGAA
rnacentral:rRNA from 1 species